GACAGAGGGGGCAAGCGUUGCUCGGAAUCACUGGGCGUAAAGGGCGCGUAGGCGGGAUGGCAAGUCGGUCGUGAAAUCCUUCGGCUCAACCGAAGAACGUCGGCCGAUACUGCCGUUCUUGAGGGAUGCAGAGGAGAUUGGAAUUCCCGGUGUAGCGGUGAAAUGUGUAGAGAUCGGGAGGAACACCGGUGGCGAAGGCGGGCCUCUGGGCAUCUCCUGACGCUGAGGCGCGAAAGCGUGGGGAGCAAACGGG
rnacentral:rRNA from 1 species